rnacentral:rRNA from 1 species
UACGAAGGGGGCGAGCGUUGUUCGGAUUUACUGGGCGUAAAGGGCGCGCAGGCGGUCUUGAAAGUCAGGCGUGAAAGCCCCGGGCUUAACCUGGGAAUUGCGCUUGAUACUCUGAGACUGGAGUACGGGAGAGGAGAGUGGAAUUCCCAGUGUAGAGGUGAAAUUCGUAGAUAUUGGGAAGAACACCAGUGGCGAAGGCGGCUCUCUGGACCGUAACUGACGCUGAGGCGCGAAAGCGUGGGAGCAACAGG